rnacentral:rRNA from 1 species
GACGAACGCUGGCGGCGUGCUUAACACAUGCAAGUCGAACGGAAAGGCCCUGCUUUUGUGGGGUGCUCGAGUGGCGAACGGGUGAGUAACACGUGAGUAGCCUGCCCUUGACUUUGGGAUAACUUCAGGAAACUGGGGCUAAUACCGGAUAGGAGCUCCUGCUGCAUGGUGGGGGUUGGAAAGUUUCGGCGGUUGGGGAUGGACUCGCGGCUUAUCAGCUUGUUGGUGGGGUAGUGGCUUACCAAGGCUUUGACGGGUAGCCGGCCUGAGAGGGUGACCGGCCACAUUGGGACUGAGAUACGGCCCAGACUCCUACGGGAGGCAGCAGUGGGGAAUAUUGCACAAUGGGCGGAAGCCUGAUGCAGCAACGCCGCGUGCGGGAUGACGGCCUUCGGGUUGUAAACCGCUUUCGCCUGUGACGAAGCGUGAGUGACGGUAAUGGGUAAAGAAGCACCGGCUAACUACGUG